rnacentral:lncRNA from 1 species
UAAAUAAAACUAAAACUUUAUCGCAAUUAAGAUUAUGACUGCUAAAAACCUAAAGUAAGUGGAUAUUAUGGAUUUAUUAGCUACAUAGUUUUGAAGUAUUUUAUGUAUUUUUAGUAUAAAGAUGUGUAAGUGUUUAAUUUACCUUUCGUAGUUAUUAAACAAGUAUUUGUUAAAGUUUUAUCUCGAUAUAAGUGUUAUU